AACGAACGCUGGCGGCAUGCCUAACACAUGCAAGUCGAACGAGACCUUCGGGUCUAGUGGCGCACGGGUGCGUAACGCGUGGGAACCUGCCCUUAGGUUCGGAAUAACUCCCCGAAAGGGGUGCUAAUACCGGAUAAUGUCUUCGGACCAAAGAUUUAUCGCCUUUGGAUGGGCCCGCGUUGGAUUAGCUAGUUGGUAGGGUAAAAGCCUACCCAGGCGACGAUCCAUAGCUGGUCUGAGAGGCUGAUCAGCCACACUGGGACUGAGACACGGCCCAGACUCCUACGGGAGGCAGCAGUGGGGAAUAUUGGACAAUGGGCGAAAGCCUGAUCCAGCAAUGCCGCGUGAGUGAUGAAGGCCUUAGGGUUGUAAAGCUCUUUUACCCGGGAUGAUAAUGACAGUACCGGGAGAAUAAGCUCCGGCUAACUCCGUG
rnacentral:rRNA from 1 species